rnacentral:sRNA from 1 species
AAGUUGCUGCAGCUGCUGCUGCAGCUGCUGCAGCUCCAGCUGCUGCAGCUGCUGUUGUUGCUGCUACAGCUGCUGCUGCUGCAGCUGUCGCUGUUGUUGUUGCUGCAGCAGCAGCAGUAGCUGCUGCUGCUGCUGCAGCUGUCGCUGUUGUUGUUGCCGCAGCAGCAGCAGCUGCAGCUGCUGCUGCUGCAGCUGCUGUUGUUGCUGCUGCAGCAGCUGCUGCUGCAGCCGUUGUUGCUGCUGCAGCAGCUGCUGCUGCAGUUUUUG